AUUGAACGCUGGCGGAAUGCUUUACACAUGCAAGUCGAACGGCAGCACGGACUUCGGUCUGGUGGCGAGUGGCGAACGGGUGAGUAAUGUAUCGGAAGGUGCCCAGUCGUGGGGGAUAACGUAGUGAAAAUUACGCUAAUACCGCAUACGAUCAAUGGAGGAAAGCGGGGGAACGUAAGGCCUCGCGCGAAUGGAGCGGCGGAUAUGAGAUUAGGUAGUUGGUGGGGUAAAGGCUCACCAAGCCGACGAACUGUAACUGGUCUGAGAGGACGACCGGCCACACUGGAACUGAGACACGGUCCAGACUCCUACGGGAGGCAGCAGUGGGGAAUUUUGGGCAAUGGGCGCAAGCCUGAUCCAGCCAUUCCGCGUGCAGGAUGAAGGCCCUCGGGUUGUAAACUGCUUUUGUACGGAACGAAAAGGCUCUGGUUAAUACCUGGGGCUCAUGACGGUACCGUAAGAAUAAGCACCGGCUAACUACGUGCCAGCCGCCGCCGUAA
rnacentral:rRNA from 1 species